rnacentral:antisense_RNA from 1 species
UAAUGAGAUGUGAGCAAAAACAACCUGUGUCACACCUGGGCACAAGCCUUAAAGGCCAGUGCUGCCCUUGUUGGGGAAAAAGUGUAGAUAUGAAUCGUUCCGCGACGCGGAGCGCCCCCUGCCGACCCAUGCUGAGCGUGUACUGUAGAUGAGGAGACUGAGGAUCAGAGAGAUAAAGUCACCUGUCCAAGGUCAUACUGUGGAUGUAGCUCUAACCCAAGCCCUCCUGACUGCAGCACAAAUUCUCAGCCACUACCAUAUUAGCCCCUUCAUUUGAAGGUGUCUUUGUCAUUGCCAAGAUUCCUUUUCCUCCCGGCCCCCUAAGUCUUCAGGUUUCUCUCAUCUCAUCUCCCCAGAGGAGCCAUGACACCAUCUCCUCCAAAAACAAAGUCAGAGCCUUCACUGUAGACGG